rnacentral:tRNA from 1 species
UCCGAAGUAACUCAGCGGCAGAGUGCUACCACUUUUGGUAGAAGUCGUAGGUUCGAAUCCUAUCUUUGGAG